UCCCCCUGCUCACGACUCAAAACAUUCUCUUUUAAACCCUCCAAACCUAAGCCUUUGUUUUCAGCACUUGUGUAGCAGAUAGCAUUGCGUUCCCUCUGUGAGAAAAAGGGGGAAAAAAAAAAAAAAAAAAAAAAAACAGAAGAAACAUAGCAAAUUUUGGAGGAGUAGAAGCAAUGGAGAUGUUCAGAAUCAAUUUUAUGGUAAUGGGUGUGUUGGCACUUGUGCUAGCCCUUGGUAUUCCUUCUUCCAUCAAUGCUGAGAGCAGCCCUGCACCAGCACCUGCACCUUCAAGCGACGGGGUAGCCAUUGAUCAGGGAAUAGCCUAUGUGCUAAUGCUGCUGGCUCUGGCUCUAACCUACAUCAUUCACUGACAGACAGCUGAAGCACGGCAGCCAGAUUUCUCCUCUUUAAAUUUUUGUGUAGUCUCUGUAUUUCAUUUUUGUUUUGGUUUUCUAGCAUUUGUGGAAACUUGAAACCUUAUGGUCCCCUAUUCUUUGCAAUAUCUCGAAUUCUUUCAGUUUCUGGCUUUGAUGGUGGGUACUUUCCCUAGUUGUUUUUUC